rnacentral:tRNA from 1 species
GUCUCUGUGGCGCAAUCGGUUAGCGCGUUCGGCUGUUAACUUAAAGGUUGGUGGUUCAAGCCCACCCAGGGACG